AAAAACAUCAGCACUCAACACACAGCCAAUGAUGUUGCCAAGGUGAGGAACGUUGUUGACAUAUGGAAGAGCGCUGGUGAUGAGAAUGUUCCUCUUUCCUGGAAUAGGAAGCUUUGUGGUCUUGGUUCCGGCGGCGGCGCCUGAAACGUCUCCCAUCUUUAUUAAUCCGCCGGGAAAUCAAAGGCUCCUCCUAGCAAGAACGAAUUCUUCCUCGUUCAGAUGGCUUCACCGGCGAGAAUCGAGAUGAUGAAUAAAAGAAAAGGAAGAAAUUAGGAGCUGUGCGAGUUGGAAACAACGACGGCGUUACAACUUACAA
rnacentral:misc_RNA from 1 species